rnacentral:lncRNA from 1 species
AUCCUGGCUGAGCCAUCUACUCCACUGUAACCGUGGGCAAGGCACACCCACAGACGUGGGCCUCCGUUUGGCCACCUGUACAGUGAGGAGGUUGUAUAGAAAGCUCUGAGGUCCUUCCUCGGCUCUGACAAUCGUGAUCCGCACACCUGGAUACAACCAGGGCAGUCCCUCGCAGGAGGUUCAUGUGUGCUUGUGAAACGCAAGCACAUUAUCUCAGAGGCAAAACAGCUACAGGAAAGGAGGAAGAGUCCAAUGUGACAGAGAAAAGGUGGGAGUGAGGCUGCAGAAUGAAACAGAGGGGGAAUCACCGGAAAGCAUCCUCCAUCUGCCUGGGAAGACCUGCAUCAGGUGACUCUUCCACUCACCUUUCCUUACCACCUCCUUCCAGCACAUCUAGAGGUAAACACCAAGAAGCACAAAGGACGAGGAGGAGCUGCUGACCCAGUAGAUGCAGUUACAGCCAAAAGAUCACACUUGGGUUUUCUUUUUGCCAAACAAUUUGAAAAUCUAAGGAGAGUGCUGAUGUAUAGACUAGCUAAAUGGUUAUUAAACAAGUUUUUUCUUCCUGGGCACACAAUUAUACUACAUUUCCCAGCCCCUUUAGAAUUACAUGGAGCCAGGUGACAUGUUCUUGCCACAGUGAGCAGAAGUGAUGGUCCUGACAGGCUGAGGCGGGUACGAGUAGGUGGGCCUUCUCCAUUUCUCUCUGCCUCGACCCUUGUCUACUGGCCAGCUGAUGUCAGGGUUUCCAAAAGGCCACAAGGUGAAGAUGGCUGUGCCUCAACACGGAAGGAGCUUGGGUCCCUGAAUGACUGUGUGGAGCAGAGCUCACUGACCGCAUUGAACUGUGACAAAAGCAAGUGAUAAACUUUUCUUGUCCCAGAUCACUGAGAUGUUGAGGCUAGUCUGUCACAGCAGUCAGCGUUAUUUCCUUUAGCUGAGACCUUUGCAGCCGGGGUCAUGGUCUUUGCAAUCAGCGUCUUCAUCCUCUUCUCCUGAAGUCUUCAACAGCUUUACAAAAAUCAGGAUCGACUUUUUUGUUCUUUGUUCUUUGUUCAUUUUAGAUUUUAAUGAAUUUGUCAGCAACAAAGCAUUUUGUCAAAUAAUUAUUAAUGAGAAAUCAAUUUUAAGAAAGCCCAAACCAAUGUAACAGCUCGGUAAUUAAUCAUUCAAAAUGAAAAAUUGGACGUUUAAGGCCUGAUGUGCCAUUCAAGUAAAAUUACAGAGAUUUGCUUCAAAACAUCAUCUAACAUUUUAGGGGAACAAGUGCUCCCUGUUUCCUCCUCUGAGUCUGUUUUCAGUUCUUGAACUGUCCAACGCUCUGUGUCAACUCUUUGGAAUGUGCAUCUCAUGUGUCCUUUACUGAUGAAAUGUCAUGAGCUGCCCUUCGACAUUCGGCAUUUCCCAAACUUGGCACCAAAAGGAUUUGCCUUUGUUCACUGUAACACAAUUGUCAUCUUUUUUCUAAAGUCAGAUUUCUGAUUCUCUUCCACUGGGCCCAGAAAAAUUUAUUUCCUUUACCAUUUCUACCCUAAUUUUGGGUUUUCAGGCCUGAAAGUGAUAUCGUGGGAACCAACAGAGGACUUGGAAAUCGGAAGAGAUGAGAAUACGGAGACCCCUCUCCAGUGAAUUUCUGCACCGGUCGCUUUGCUCAGCUUUCCCUCCUGUUCCUGAAACGUCUUCCUCAUUCCUCUCAGCCUCUCUAAAUUCUCCAAAUGCUUCAAGUUUCACUAAUUCCCUUAUAAGGCUUAUAGAAUUUCCCACAUGGACCCUCAGUAGGUUAAAAUUUCCAAGAGCACAAAGAACACUUUUGAUUGUGUUCUUCCUCAUUUCCCCACUGUCUAGCACUGUACUUAGCGUUUGUCAGACGCUUAAAAUAUACGUGCUGAAUGAGUUGAUGGCUUUGAAUGACUGGGGGAAUUUUGGGUCCUUCACUCAUCUCAAGUAAACUGUGAAUCAUCAGAAAGAAUAGAAGGAAAAGAGAUUCAUUCUUCUCAAAACACACACCGUCUGUACCACAUAAUUUAGCAAUUAAUUAUGAUUAAUUUAGCAAUUAAAAUGAGCAAUUUAAUGCUCAUUUUGACAGUACAAAGAACCGGCAGCAUUUGUUUCCAUGUCACUUUAAGAACAUUUCCAGCUCAACUGACUGACUUAGGAGGAAUAAUAAUCACAAGUGACAGUGUCCAUGACGGCCUCCACCCAAAAACAUAAAGCGGACUAUUGUGUUCUUGCAGAUAUGAUACGCUUUGCAUUUUCUUUCUCUUGUUUUAUUUUUUAAUAGAAAUAUCUGUUGAUCUACAUGGCAUUCUCUGGAGAAUAUACGAGCUGGGUGUGAUGGGUAGAAUAAUGCCUCCCUCCCCCAAAGAUGUCCACUGUGACUAUGUUAUGUUACACGUGAGAGGGAAUGAAGGUUGCAGACAGAAUUAAGGCUACUAAUGAGCUGACUUUAAAACAUAGGAGAUUAUCCUGGAUUACCUAGGUGAGCCCAACAUAAUCACAAAGCCCAUACAGGACCUUUGUGGAGGAGGGAAGCAGAGGAGGCGGUAUUGCAGUGAUGCAUGUGAGAAAGACUCCACUGGCCAUUGCUGGCAUUGACCAUGGAAGAGAUCCAUGAGCCAAGGACUGAGGGAAGCUCCUGGAAACUGGAAAAGUCAAGAAAAUAGGUUUUCCCUUACAACCUCCAGAAGGAAUGCAGCCCUGCCAACACCUUAGUGUUAGCCCAUUGAGACGUGCUUUGGAAUUCUGAUCCCCAGAACAAUAAGAUAAUAGAUUUGUGUUGUUGUAAGCCACCAAGUUUGUGGUAAUUUGUUACGGCAACAAUAGGAAACUAGUACAUUAGGGGUUCUAAAUAAAAAGACAAGGAUGGGUGCAGUUGCAUUUUACAACUUAUCAAAAAAAGAUACAAUAAAAG